rnacentral:ncRNA from 1 species
CUUCUUCGGGGCAGGGUGAAAUUCCCUACCGGCGGUACAGCCCGCGAACCUGUCUAAACAGGCCGAUCCGGUGUGAUUCCGGAGCCGACAGUAUAGUCUGGAUGAGAGAAGAG